rnacentral:rRNA from 1 species
CACGAACUUAGCCCGUGCUUCCUCCAGGGAUCAGUCAAGGUUUUAAGGCCCUUCUUCCCCCUCGACAGGAGUUUACAACCCGAAGGCCUUCGUCCUCCACGCGGCGUCGCUCGGUCAGGCUUGCGCCCAUUGCCGAAGAUUCUCGACUGCAGCCUCCCGUAGGAGUCUGGGCAGUGUCUCAGUCCCAGUGUGCCGGGCCACGCUCGCACGCCCGGUAGGCGUCAUAGCCUUGGUGGCCAUUACCCCGCCAACAAGCUGAUACCACGACGGCCCGUCCCACGACGCCGGAGCUUUGGUCACAAGAGGAUGUCCUCUCGUGACGUCGCCGGGAAUUACCCGCAGUUUCCCGCGGCUAUGCCCGAUCAUGGGGUUGUUGCCGUCGCCUUACUCACCCUUGCGCCACGCCCUUGCGGAGCGUACGCUUGCAUGCCUAAUCCACGCCGCCAACGUUCAUUCUGAGCCAGGAUCAAACUCU